rnacentral:rRNA from 1 species
UGACUGAGCGGCGGACGGGUGAGUAACGCGUGGAUAACCUGCCUCACACAGGGGGAUAACAGUUAGAAAUGACUGCUAAUACCGCAUAAGCGCACAGUACCGCAUGGUAUAGUGUGAAAAACUCCGGUGGUGUGAGAUGGAUCCGCGUCUGAUUAGGUAGUUGGUGGGGUAACGGCCCACCAAGCCGACGAUCAGUAGCCGACCUGAGAGGGUGACCGGCCACAUUGGGACUGAGACACGGCCCAAACUCC